GACGAACGCUGGCGGCGUGCCUAAUACAUGCAAGUAGAACGCUGAAGGAGGAGCUCGCUUUUCUGGAUGAGUUGCGAACGGGUGAGUAACGCGUAGGUAACCUGCCUGGUAGCGGGGGAUAACUAUUGGAAACGAUAGCUAAUACCGCAUAAUAGUAGAUGUUGCAUGACAUUUGCUUAAAAGGUGCAAUUGCAUCACUACCAGAUGGACCUGCGUUGUAUUAGCUAGUUGGUGGGGUAACGGCUCACCAAGGCGACGAUACAUAGCCGACCUGAGAGGGUGAUCGGCCACACUGGGACUGAGACACGGCCCAGACUCCUACGGGAGGCAGCAGUAGGGAAUCUUCGGCAAUGGACGGAAGUCUGACCGAGCAACGCCGCGAGUGAAGAAGGUUUUCGGAUCGUAAAGCUCUGUUGUAAGAGAAGAACGAGUGUGAGAGUGGAAAGUUCAC
rnacentral:rRNA from 1 species